AUUGAACGCUGGCGGCAGGCCUAACACAUGCAAGUCGAGCGCGAGGCGGACGGGUGAGUAAUAUAUGUGGACUGCCCCAGAGAGGGGGGUAACUACUGGGAACGGUAGCUAAUACCGCAUACUAUCGGAUAACGCCUAGGUGAUGAGCUAGUAGGUGGGGUAAUGGCUCACCUAGGCGACGAUCCCUAGCUGGUCUGAGAGGAUGAUCAGCCACACUGGAACUGAGACACGGCCCAGACUCCUACGGAGGCAGCAGGGGGGAAUAUUGCACAAUGGGCGCAAGCCUGAUGCAGCCAUGCCGCGUGUAUGAAGAAGGCCUUAGGGUUGUAAAGUACUUUCAGCCGGGAGGCGUUACCGACAGAAGAAGCACCGGCUAACUCCGUGCCAGCAGCCGCGGUAAUUC
rnacentral:rRNA from 1 species